GGCCAUAAGACAGGGAUAACGCACGGAAACGUGAGCUAAACCAGAUAGGCAUUUUCCACGCAUGAGGGAGAUGAGAAAGGCGGAGCAAUCUGCCGCUUAUGGAUGGACCUGCGUCGCAUUAGCUAGUUGGAGUGGUAAAGGCACACCAAGGCGACGAUGCGUAGCCGACCUGAGAGGGUGAGCGGCCACACUGGGACUGAGACACGGCCCAGACUCCUACGGGAGGCAGCAGUAGGGAAUCUUCCGCAAUGGACGAAAGUCUGACGGAGCAACGCCGCGUGAGUGAAGAAGGUUUUCGGAUCGUAAAGCUCUGUUGCCAGGGAAGAAGAGCAAGGAGAGGAACUGCUCCUUGAGUGACGGUACCUGAGAAGAAAGCCCCGGCUAACUACGUG
rnacentral:rRNA from 1 species